CCUUGCCUCAGAGGCUCAGGCUCGUCGUCGCUCCCUCAGCAGAGAGAGGGAGGGGAUGGGGGCAGGCUGGUAACCGGGCUGUAACGGGGAUAAACUGCAGCCUCCGGAUCUCAGACUCUCUGAUGGAGUGAACCGGGCACCGAGGCGCGUUUCCGUCCGUCCUCUGUCCAUCAUGGAGCGGGUUCGUCUCACAUCACAGUGAAGACUGGGCCGGGGGUCAGAGGUCGUUCACCAAACCUGCACUUCUCCCCUCUCACCCCUGCACCCCACCCCACCCCUCCACUGAACUUAUCUUACAUCCUCCCCCCCCCCCACUUCUCUCUUCACUCACACAUCCUCAGAGCCCCGCCUCCAGCACCUACUGUACUUCCUGCCUGUCUCCCUCACCCAAUCAGCUUCAAAGGAACCAACGCUGUCACUCUGUCUUGAAGCUGCACUCAGGUGUCCUUUUUCAGCUUCUCAGAUAGCACCUCUCACACCCAGGCCUCAAGAUGAUGUGCGAGGUGAUGCCCACCAUCUCAGAGGAUGGGCGUGGUGGAGGAAGCGGCGGGUCAUCGUCUCCUGCUGGUGGCGGCGGAGGGAUAGGAGGAGGGAUUGGAGGCAUAGGGGGCUACGGAGGACGGGAUACCCGCAGCGGGAGUGGUAGUGGUGGUAGUGGUGGAAGUGGAGGUGGCAGUGAUGAGGGUGGCAGCACGGGCAACCUGGAGUCCCUGAUGGUGAACAUGCUGACGGAGAGGGAGAGGUUGCUGGAGAGCCUGAGGGAGACCCAAGACUGCCUGGGGACGGCCCACCUACGCCUGAGGGAGCUGGGCCAUGAGAAGGAGUCGCUCCAGAGGCAGCUGUCCAUCGCUCUGCCACAGGAGUUUGCAGUGUUGACCAAAGAGCUGAACCUCUGCCGGGAGCAGCUGCUGGAGAGAGAGGAGGAGAUCGCGGAGCUGAAGGCGGAGAGGAACAACACACGACUGCUGCUAGAACAUCUGGAGUGCCUGGUGUCCCGUCACGAGCGCAGCCUGAGGAUGACCGUGGUGAAGAGGCAGGCGCAGUCCCCUGCCGGGGUCUCCAGCGAGGUGGAGGUCCUGAAGGCCUUGAAGUCCUUGUUUGAGCACCACAAAGCUCUGGAUGAGAAGGUGAGGGAGAGGCUACGGGUGGCUCUGGAGCGGGUGGCGUCCCUGGAGGAAGAGUUGCAGACCUCCUCUCAAGAAGUUGUGUCUCUAAAAGAUCAAAUCAAGCGACGGCAGCAAGGACUCGACAACGGGAAAGAUCGUCUGCCUAAUGGACCGUCUUCUAUUCUGGACGACGCCGACGGCGACAGGCAGCGAGAGAGCGAGAUCGAGCGUCAGAGGUCCGAGCUGGGCCAGCUGAAAGAGAGACUGGCCCUCAUGUGCAGACAGGUCGGAGAGAUCGAGGAGCAGCUGACGUCCGCCAGGAGGGAGCUGGCCCGAUCAGAAGAGGCCAACCAGAAACUCCAGAGGGAUGUGAAAGAGGCUCUCUGUCAAAGGGAAGACAUGGAAGAGAGGAUCACCACAUUAGAGCGAAGGUACCUGAGCGCCCAGAGGGAGGCGACGUCUCUCCAUGACAUAAAAGACAAAAUAGAGAACGAGCUGGCCAGCAAAGAAUCCCUCUACAGACAGAGCGAGGAGAAGAACCGGCAGCUACAGGAGCGUCUGGAUGAUGCCAAGCAGAAGCUGCAGCAGACCCUGCAGAGGGCCGAGACCCUGCCGGAGAUCGAGGCCCAGCUCGCGCAGAGAGUGGCGGCGCUCAACAAGGCGGAGGAGCGUCAUGGUAACUUUGAGGAGCGUCUGCGACAGAUGGAGGCGCAACUGGAGGAGAAGAACCAGGAGCUACAGAGGGCGAGACAGAGGGAGAGGAUGAAUGAUGAACACAACAAGCGUCUCUCUGACACGGUGGACAAGCUUCUGUCAGAGUCCAACGAGAGGCUGCAGCUCCAUCUGAAGGAGAGAAUGGCCGCCCUGGAGGAAAAGAACGCUCUGUCUGAGGAACUCUCCAACAUGAAGAAACUCCAGGAUGAUCUCUUGGCAAACAAGGACCAGCUCAUAGUGGAGCUGGAGAGGAUUCAGCUGGAGUUAGAUCAGCUGAGAGCGAGGCCCGGGGGCUCGUACUCCAGCCGCUCUCUGCCAGGAAGCGCUCUGGAGUUGAGGUAUUCCCAUGGAGGCGGGUCCCUCCCAUUAGGCUCCACCACUCACCUGGACCCCUUUGGUAAUGCCUCCACUGGGGGCGUGGUCAGGCGGAGUCACAGGGCCCGUUGGAGCUCCGCCCGGGAGGACUCCACCAAGUACCCAGACUGGGAUAGCGGGGCUCUGCUUGGGACCGGGUUCGAGCCAGGCUUGGAGGUGGGCUGCUCCGACGAAGAUGACGACGUGGAGCCUCGGUUCGGCUCCGAGCUGCUGUCGCCCAGUGGACAGACGGACGUGCAGACACUGGCUAUCAUGCUGCAGGAACAGCUGGAGGCCAUCAAUAAGGAGAUCAAACUGAUCCAGGAGGAGAAGGAGAACACAGAGCUACGAGCUGAGGAGAUCGAGAGCCGGGUCAGCGUGGCUUUAGACCCUCCGUCCACCCUGGGGAGAGACAGCACAGGCCGGGGGUUCAUCCCCUCGUCCAUCACAUCCUCCACCCUUGCCUCCCCCUCACCCCCGAGCUCCGGCCACUCCACCCCUCGCCUGCCGCACUCCCCGGCCCGCGAGAAUGACAGACAGAACAGCAAAGAUGACGAUCGGUCCCUCGCCCUCCUCGACUCCACGCCUCCACCCACUCCUCGUGCUCUGCGCUUGGACAGGAUGGCCCUCACCCACCCAGGAGCGAUGCUGGACGACCCCCGAGAGUUUCGCAGUCUCUCAGCAGAUGGGAGCAGCUCCAACAGCAGCCAAGAUUCCCUCCACAAGUCCAGUAAGAAGAAGAGCAUCAAGUCUUCCAUCGGGCGGCUUUUUGGAAAGAAGGAGAAGGGGAGGAUGGGUCAACCGGGGCGGGAUGGAUCCUCUUCUCUUGCAUCCACACCCUCUGAGGACAUGGCCUCUGGUGACCCCAUGGGGAUGAACAAGACCGGGACUCUGGGUCCAGCAGAUAAAGACCGCCGCAGCAAGAAGAAGCAUGAGCUGCUGGAGGAAGCAUGUCGCCAAGGACUUCCCUUUGCAUCCUGGGACGGACCCACUGUUGUGUCUUGGUUGGAGCUGUGGGUGGGAAUGCCGGCCUGGUACGUUGCAGCCUGCCGUGCUAACGUGAAGAGCGGCGCCAUCAUGGCUAACCUGUCAGACACAGAGAUCCAGAGGGAGAUCGGCAUCAGUAACCCGCUCCACCGCCUCAAACUGCGGCUGGCCAUCCAGGAGAUGGUGUCCCUCACCAGCCCCUCGGCUCCCGCCAGCACUCGCUCUUCGACCAGUAACGUGUGGAUGACCCACGCAGAGAUGGAGUCCCUGAACGCCGCCACCAAGCCUCCGGCCGUAGUGUUGAGCGUCUUCUUCUCUCCCUCUGGUUUCUGUUUCUGUGUGAACUGCUUCCAACUAAUUACCCGUUCACUAACACACUAUUCCUCCCUUUUGUCCUCUUUUCCUGCUGCUGCUGCUGCCGCUGCUACCUCCUCCUCUUCCUCCUCCUCCUCUGCUUCUACUCCAUCAUCUCUCCAUCUGUCCACCCUGCUCUCGACCCCUGCUCCACUUCUUCCCUCUCCACCUCCUUGUCUCUCUCUCUCUCUCCUCUCUCUCUCUCUCUCUCUCUCUCUCCCCCCCCGCUCUCCCUCACUCUCUCUCUCUCUCUCUCUCUCUCUAUGAGUCUGUCUCUCUCUCUCUCUGUCUGCCUCCUGUCCUCUGCCGGCGCUGUAGGAGUUGAAGGAGUUCAGCUGGGAUCAGAUACUGGCCUACGGCGAUAUGAAUCAUGAGUGGGUGGGAAACGACUGGCUGCCCAGCCUGGGUCUGCCUCAGUAUCGCAGCUACUUCAUGGAGUCCCUGGUGGAUGCUCGCAUGCUGGACCACCUGACGAAGAAGGAGCUGAGAGGACAGCUCAAAAUGGUGGACAGCUUCCACAGGGUCAGUUUGCAUUACGGCAUCAUGUGCCUGAAGCGUCUCAACUACGACCGCAAGGAGCUGGAGAGGAGGCGAGAGGACAGCGCCCACCAGAACAAAGAUGUGAUGGUGUGGUCCAACGAGCGUGUGAUGUGCUGGGUGCAGACUCUCGGCCUGAAGGAGUACGCCGACAACCUGCGUGAGAGCGGCGUCCAUGGGUCUCUGCUGGCUCUGGACGACACCUUCGACUUCACCGACCUGGCUCUGCUGCUGCAGAUCCCCAAUCAGAACACACAGGCCCGGCAGCUCCUGGAGCAAGAGUACAACUCGCUCAUCUCCAUGGGAACCGAGAGACGACCUGAUGAGGAUGGAGCAAAGACGUUCACACGCUCGCCCUCCUGGAGGAAGAUGUUUAGGGAGAAAGACCUCCGGGGCGUGACCUCUGACUCCGCCGAGACCCUGCCUGCUAACUUCCGUGCCUCAGCCAUCGCCACGCCCUCCGUUACCCUGAGAAAGGUUCAGAGUGAUGCCAACUCUGGUGCCCGGGGUGAAUCUGCCUCAGUGAGGACGUACUCCUGUUGAAGGGCUGAGGGCGCUGGACCGGAUUGGGACUAGAGGACCCUCUCGCUCAUCCACAGAGAAAGAAGCAAUGAAAAUAUAACCAUAUAACUACAAAUAGAUCUAUCGGCCUGACCAUUCUGCAAUAACAGAGGGGAAGAGGAGAAGUAACAAGGGGAAGGGACAUGAAGAAUGUAUGAAUGUAUUUUUCCGAAAUGAAUAGAAGAGUUGGAAAGGAUCAGCUGUUUUCUCUCCCUCUCUCUCUCUCUCUCUGUCGCUCGCUCAGUGUGGCUGUGCUGUGGGGUUAAUAGAGGACAUCGUUGGUAUUGGUUAGGUUUUAGCCAGUCGCGCCGGUUUCCUCUCUCUUCAUUCCUGUCUGCACACAGUCAGCACAGUCGGUAAUAUCAGGGCUCAUUUUCCUACCUUGAGGAAACCACUCGCUGCCAUUUACUCUCCCGCAAAACAACUCGACGUGCCGCCUUAGAACUUCUGCUCCACAACAGGUGUUAGUAAUGAGAGAGAAGUUAACCUCAGCGUAAAUGUUAGGUUUUAAACACGAGAGGAAUGGCUGGAAGAGAGGGGGAGAAAUGGCCGCUUAUAACUCUAACCGACAGAGGCGUUCUCCUCUACUUACAGCUGGUGUCCAGUGUCGGCCAUUGUGGUUCUAUUGUUUCCUUUAUGGGCCUGUCAGGAGCGUCCGAGUGUCCUCAAUGGGGCGGACGAAGGGGUGGAGUUGAACACGUUUGGAUUCAGACAAACAUAUAAUUCCGGCCACUUCAGAGGAGACCCUCCUGGUUCUUUGUCUGUUUGGCGUCUUGAAAGCUGAUCGGCGGAGUCAUCUCUUUUGAAGGGACCCCGUUAUAGAGAUGAAAGGCGGAGGUGGAGGGGACAGGGUGGAGCGAGGCCACAGGGGCUUUGUGUUCAGUGAUUUUAUGAUGUGGCAUAGGGUGACACUUUCUGAAAAGGCGUACUUUACAAGCAGCUCCUUGGUUUAAACUUUGAGUGUUGAUAAUGUUGAAGAUUUGAGUCUGGGAGGAUGCCAGUGAACAAGUUAGACUUUACAAAACUUCCAAAACUCCAACUAAGACAUGUUUCUUGCAGGACUUGCAGGAUAUUUCAUCUUCAGCUUCUUGUCUCAGCCUUCUCUUCUUCUGCAACACUAUGCUGGGAACCGUGAAGCUUAUUGGCGUCCCAUACAUGCAGACACUGCCGUCAUGGCUCCAAACGUAGCUUUCGCAGUCAGUUUGGCGAGCAAUCAGGAAUUUAUCUCAAUAAGUUUAUAUUAUUUUUUAUUAUUGCAUAGCAGUAAAUGAGGGUCCAACAUAUUUUGGAGCUUGUGAAACUCGGGUAACAAAAGUCUCAGCCUUUUAUCUCUGAUAUUAAAAAGCUCGAGCAGCAGACUAAUAAAUAAGUUAUUACUGCUUUAUGAGACAGUCACACUUAUAUGUUGGCAAGCUUUGAUAAAAUAUCUGAUUACACUCGUUUUAUUGUUUUUGGCGGCGUCAACAGACUGUCAAAACACAGAACAGUGUUAAAGCUCCUGUGGGGGACUCUAAGGUGGAGUCGAUUUUGGCCCCCUGGUGGACAAAGCCAUCAUUGCAUCCUUCUUUUAUAUUUAUAUUUCAUGUUUCCCAUGUAUCCUGCUGUCUUUUAACAGUGAAAUGUAGCACUCCUCGUGAAUCUCUGCCAUGAAAUGUGAAAAAGCUCCCUCAGCAGCAUUCUGUUAUCGCUCAGUCUGACGGCCAAAUUCCACCUGAUCCGUGUCUGGUCCAUCUCUGAUCCGUCACAGCACCGGAUCUGAUAGGUUUCUAUUCUACUCAAUGUGUUAUCUUCCACUGGAUCCACUCCGUUGCGUUCCAGCUGCGUCUCUGAUCUGCAGGACGCAUCAAUCUCAACAGAGCAGAUGGAGCGGGACAACAUCCGGUUAAUUUUCAGAAUAAAACACUCUGUGUUAUCACCAGAUCGUAUUUCACUUAACUACAACAACAAACCAAAGUCAUGAUGAGCGGAGCCAGGCCUGGAGUCAACAGGUCAGAGGUUUUCAGAGGACCAGAAAGACAACAUGGAUGAGGAGAAUCCUUGAUUCAGUGGUUACUGUGGGAAAACCUCGGUCACAUGACUCCAGCUGUCCGGCGGUCCCGCUCUGUGCUACGUUCUGAAAAUGCAACCGCUAGGUGUUCGGAUCGGAGACAGACCAGACAUGGAUCUGGUGGAAGUCCCAUGUGACUCCUACCUCCUGCCAGCUGAUUCAGACUUUAAAAACACCAACAUAGAAACAUUCAUUGUUCUUAUUUAUGGUCUUGUCUGCUUGUUGGGGGUCAUAAAGAGACGCUGAUAUUAAGUUCAGUCUGUUUCACAACCAGCUAAAAACUCCCUACAGGAGCUUUAACCUUCAAUAAUCAUCCUCCUAACAUCAUCUGUAGAGCAGGUACCAGUUUAAGGAGCUAAUAUUGAGCCAUAAGAUUAGUAAGAAAGAAAGGGAUCGUCUGCUGGAAGUGAUGAUCCUGUGAAGAGGUUUAAAAGCUAUCAGGUUAAUAUGCAAAAAUACGCUCGGCUUAUUAUCGCAUCUGGCUCAACUGUACAGCUCCUCUCUCGUGCAUCAUCUUUGAGGCAGUGUCCUCUCUCUCAUUCUUCAAUUCCCACAAGACACCACUCGUCCCCAUUUGGCAAAAUCCUCCAGGGAAGCUUCUUCUUAGCCAGGCCUUCGAUUCCAAGCAGUCCCAAACCUUGCAGAGUGACUUCACUGCGAAGCCCGGACUGUCACCGGUAGAUUUCAGGGGUCUUCCACCCCUUCUGCUUGCUCUCUACGAGGAGAGUGUGAUCUUUUGGCUGCUCAAUAUCAGGUCUGAGAUUAGUUGAUACCGUCACAGUCACUUGCUAUGGCGAGGAUGAGCCCUCUGCUCCUCAUCUCUGCUCCUUCUCUGAGGAAGAGGAUGAACUGAGGACUAUUUAACUGCUGCCUCUGCUUCUACCUUGCCUGCUCCACACCAGCAGAUAACUGAGCCAAGAUCUGGUUAUGAAGACCUCCCAUAUUAUCCUCCUGAUGAACCAAAGAGCUUGUUUUGAAGUCAGAGAAAGUUAGUUGGACGUGUUGAUAGAUUGUAUGCGACCCAAACAAACAUAGGAGUUGAUUUUGAAGGCUUUGUAAAGUACGUCUUAUUAGAAAGCGGCGCCAAGGAGCGAGGAUGUAUUUUUAGGAAGGCUUUAUUUUGAGGCCGCACCGCGCACCAGCCCCACAGGAUGUUGUCGUGCGGUUGAUCACUUGUAAUCAUCAGCUCAGGGUCUCGGGUAAUCCUGAUGAUGAGAGAGGUGACAGGGAGACAAAACAGCGACUCACAGGGAGGCAAGAAAAACCUAAGAGGAUGGACAGAAGCCGGUCAUUUUACUGCACACACAAGCCAUAACAGAAACCUAGAACUCUCUGGAGGUGUGGGGGGGUGGAUCAGGAUCAGGAUCAGGAUCAGGAUCAGGAUCAGGAUCAGAGCAAGGCAGGAAAAGAGGGCGAGCCCCAGGAAGCCCAGGAAGCCCAGGAAGCGAAACCUUUAGCCUCUGUGCUUACGUUGCAUGUCAAACAAACAACAAUGACCUAAAACAUUUUUUUGGUGGUGAAGAUGAUAUAAGGUGUCUUUAAAAAAUAUAUAUCUGUAUGAUAAACCUACAGGGGGUCGGGAGCCUGGGGAUCAAUUUGUAAAAUGUGUGUAUUUUUUUCAGUUGUAUUUUUUAUUUUUUACGAUAUCUAUUUAUUUUUCUUUAGGUAUGUAUUGGAUAAACGUAUGAACAUGUUUCGUUCCUUCUUGACUUCAUUUGAAAAUAGUUUUCAAAAGUAAAAAAAUAUGAAACAUUGAAAAUGGUCAUUCAAAUAUGCUACUGUAUGUGUACAUUUUGAGAACAAACUGUGCAAUGAUUUAUCAGAUUUACAUGAUUAAAGUGAUAGUACUACAAAUUGAAAAUAUCAUCUGGAAAAUAAACAAUAUUGAUGAUGAUGAUGAUGAUGAUGAUGAUUAAAAUGGUGAUGUAAAAGAAAAAAAAUAAAGCGACCCCGGUGGAUCAGCUGAUCAUCGCAA